CUGCUAAACACAGACGCCAGGACCGGCCCUGGAGACUCGGCUGCUGUUCUGGGGCGAGGCCUGAGGAGCUGGAUGUGGAGGAGAAUCUUGGAUGAUUCCUUGGACCUGGCAAGUUACAGCCUCUCUUGAAUGCCGCUGCGGAUGGGGAACUCAACAUUGCCUCUCAUGAGUUACAGUAAAGGGCGCUUCCUUGCAGGGAGGAAGAGGAGCCCCUGAACACCUCCUGUUGACUGGCCUAGCCGUGAGCACCCGAGAGACUUGGAGGAUCAGGGAGACACCUACGGCCCCAUGCCCUCCUCUGCCUGUCGUCUCAGUCCACUCUGAUCAAGGUGUCACGUGCCACCAGGCCAAGGCCCUAUCCUAGCAGAGACGGCAUCAUAAAGUCAGUCCCUGAUCUCACCCAGCUCACCUGGAUGACUGUGCAUGUGCUGAUUGCCAUUGCAGGAACCCAUCCCGACUUCCUUAUUGUCAUUCUAGCAAGGGGUGGAUGAUCUUUAUUCAGGAAAUAUUCUGAUCCUUGAAGGCUGGCUGCCAGGACACAUCAUCCAAUGGUGGCAGAAGAAGGAAGACCCUCAGUGCUGGCUGCCCUCCUGGAGGUGGAGUUUGAUGUGGAGAAUGCUCCUUGGGAACUGUUGUGGGUCCUUUUACUUCCUGGCAGUGGGGAGAUUCUUCACCCCAACUCCUGGGCCAAAAAAGUCCAAGAGUUCAUGGCUGAGCCCAGGUUGGGUCUGAUUUGUGUUUUCAGGAGACUGGGAGCAUUUAAUUUUAAGCUAUAUGUGUUCAAUAAACAGAGAAGGA